UACGUAGGGUGCAAGCGUUAAUCGGAAUUACUGGGCGUAAAGCGUGCGCAGGCGGCUUUGCAAGACAGAUGUGAAAUCCCCGGGCUCAACCUGGGAACUGCAUUUGUGACUGCAAGGCUAGAGUACGGUAGAGGUGGAUGGAAUUCCGCGUGUAGCAGUGAAAUGCGUAGAUAUCUGGAGGAAUACCGGUGGCGAAGGCGGCAUCCUGGACCGGCAUUGACGCUGAGGAGCGAAAGCUAGGGGAGCAAACGGG
rnacentral:rRNA from 1 species